AUUGAACGCUGGCGGCAUGCCUUACACAUGCAAGUCGAACGGUAACGGGCCUUCGGGUGCCGACGAGUGGCGAACGGGUGAGUAAUGCAUCGGAACGUACCUUUCAGUGGGGGAUAACGUAGCGAAAGUUACGCUAAUACCGCAUAUUCUGUGAGCAGGAAAGCAGGGGAUCGCAAGACCUUGCGCUGAUUGAGCGGCCGAUGUCAGAUUAGAUAGUUGGGGAGGUAAAGGCUCACCAAGGCGACGAUCUGUAGCGGGUCUGAGAGGAUGAUCGUCCACACUGGGACUGCGAACCGGCCCAGACUCCUACGGGAGGCAGCAGUGGGGAAUUUUGGACAAUGGGGGCAACCCUGAUCCAGCCAUGCCGCGUGAGUGAAGAAGGCCUUCGGGUUGUAAAGCUCUUUCGGCCGGGAAGAAAUCGCACAGGCUAAUACCUUGUGUGGAUGACGGUACCGGAAUAAGAAGCACCGGCUAACUACGUGCCAGCCGCCGCCGUAACAC
rnacentral:rRNA from 1 species